rnacentral:rRNA from 1 species
CGGCGUGCCUUUUGCAUAAUGAGCCUACGAGUUACUUUAACUAGCAAGGUUAAGCACUUCAGGUGCGGAUCCGUAGCGAAAGCGAGUCUGAAUAGGGCGAUAUAGUUAGUUUGAGUAGACGCGAAACCGUGUGAUCUACCCUUGGGCAGGUUGAAGCUGUGGUAACACACAGUGGAGGACCGAACCCGUUGACGUUGAAAAGUCUUGGGAUGACCUGAGGGUAGGGGUGAAAGGUAA